rnacentral:rRNA from 1 species
GAUGAACGCUGGCGGCGUGCCUAAUACAUGCAAGUCGAGCGAAUGGAUUAAGAGCUUGCUCUUAUGAAGUUAGCGGCGGACGGGUGAGUAACACGUGGGUAACCUGCCCAUAAGACUGGGAUAACUCCGGGAAAACGGGGCUAAUACCGGAUAACAUUUUGAACCGCAUGGUGCGAAAUGGAAAGGCGGCUUCGGCUGUGACUUAUGAAUGGACCCGCGUCGCAUUAGCUAGUUGGUGAGGUAACGGCUCACCAAGGCAACGAGGCGUAGCCGACCUGGGAGGGUGAUCGGCCACACUGGGACUGAGACACGGCCCAGACUCCUACGGGAGGCAGCAGUAGGGAAUCUUCCGCAAUGGACGAAAGUCUGACGGAGCAACGCCGCGUGAGUGAUGAAGGCUCUCGGGUCGUAAAACUCUGUUGUUAGGGAAGAACAAGUGCUAGUUGAAUAAGCUGGCACCUUGACGGUACCUAACCAGAAAGCCACGGCUAACUACGUGCCAGCCGCCGCCGUAA